UCGCUCUGUAACCUGCGGGUAUUGGAUGAUUCGUAGCUAAGACUUCGCGACACCCUUGAAGCUGAGAAAUGGAACCCUUAACAUUCAGGGAUGUGGCCAUAGAAUUCUCUCCAGAAGAGUGGAAAUGCCUGGACCCUGCCCAGCAGAAUUUGUAUAGAGAUGUGAUGUUGGAGAACUACAGAAACCUGGUCUCCCUAGGAUAUGUCGUUAUUGAUCCAGCUCAACUUUAUGUAUAUGAGAAACUUGGACAGUCUGGACAAUAGAAUAAAUGAAGUCAAUAAAACCAUUCUUUUAACAAACUUAAUACCAUACCUUCAGAGUGUUAUUUUCCUUUUUGUCAUAAGGUGUCUGGAAAUGAAGUAUGGAAAUGAAAUCAUGAAUAAAGACCCAGUUUUCAGAAUCUCUCCACGAAGUAGAGGAACUCAUACCAAUCCAGAAGAGCCUGAAGAAGAUGUUCAAGCUGAAAGAGUCCAAGCAGCAAAUGCACUCACUACUCCAAACUUGGAGGAGGAACCAGUCAUAACUGCAAGCUGUUUACACAAGGAAUAUUAUGAGACAAAGAAAGUUGCUUUUCAACAACAAAGAAGAAAGCAGCCAUCAGAAAUGUUUCGUUUUGUGUUAAAAAGUGAAGUUUUGGGAUUACUAGGACACAAUGGAGCUGGCAAAAGUACUUCCAUUAAAAUGAUAACUGGGUGCACAGUGCCAACUGCAGGAGUGGUGGUGUUACAAGGCAACAGAGCAUCAGUAAGGCAACAGCGUGACAACAGCCUCAAGUUCUUGGGUACUGCCCUCAGGAGAACUCACUGUGUCCCAAACUUACAAUGAAAGAGCAUUUGGAGUUGUAUGCAGCCGUGAAAGGACUGGGCAAAGAUGCUGCUCUUAGUAUUUCAUGAUUGGUGGAAGCUCUCAAGCUCCAGGAGCAACUUAAGGCUCCCGUGAAAACUCUAUCAGAGGGAAUAAAGAGAAAGCUAUGCUUCGUGCUGAGCAUACUGGGGAACCCAUCAGUGGUGCUUCUAGACGAGCUGUUCACCGGGAUGGACCCUGAGGGGCAGCAGCAAAUGUGGCAGAUACUUCAGGCUACCAUUAAAAACCAGGAGAGGGGCGCCCUCUUGACCACCCAUUACAUGUCAGAGGCUAAGUCUCUGUGUGACCGUGUGGCCAUCAUGGUGUCAGGAACGCUAAGGUGUAUUGGUUCCAUUCAACAGCUGAAAAGUUUGGUAAAGAUUAUUUACUAGAAAUAAAAAUGAAAGAACCUACUCAGGUGGAAGCUCUCCACACAGAGAUUUUGAAGCUUUUCCCACAGGCUGCUUGGCAGGAAAGAUAUUCCUCUUUAAUGGCAUGUAAGUUACCUGUGGAGGAUGUCCACCCUCUGUCUCAGGCCUUUUUCAAAUUAAAGGCAGUGAAACAGACCUUCAACCUGGAGGAAUACAGCCUCUCUCAGGCUACCUUGGAGCAGGUGUUCUUAGAACUCUGUAAAGAGCAGGCGCUGGGAAAUGUUGAUGA
rnacentral:lncRNA from 1 species